UGGGGAAUAUUGCACAAUGGGGGAAACCCUGAUGCAGCCAUGCCGCGUGUGUGAAGAAGGCCUUCGGGUUGUAAAGCACUUUCAGUAGGGAGGAAAGGUUGACGGUUAAUACCCGUUAGCUGUGACGUUACCUACAGAAGAAGGACCGGCUAACUCCGUGCCAGCAGCCGCGGUAAUACGGAGGGUCCGAGCGUUAAUCGGAAUUACUGGGCGUAAAGCGUGCGCAGGCGGUUUGUUAAGCGAGAUGUGAAAGCCCCGGGCUCAACCUGGGAAUUGCAUUUUGAACUGGCAAACUAGAGUCUUGUAGAGGGGGGUAGAAUUUCAGGUGUAGCGGUGAAAUGCGUAGAGAUCUGAAGGAAUACCGGUGGCGAAGGCGGCCCCCUGGACAAAGACUGACGCUCAUGCACGAAAGCGUGGGGAGCAAACAGGAUUAGAUACCCUGGUAGUCCACGCCGUAAACGAUGUCUACUCGGAGUUUGGUGUCUUGAACACUGGGCUCUCAAGCUAACGCAUUAAGUAGACCGCCUGGGGA
rnacentral:rRNA from 1 species